AACACUGUUAACCUGCGGUACCUGCGGAGGGAUCAUCAUCGAAUUCAUAUCCCCCUCCUCUCCCGGAGGGGGACCCAUGAUAAACCCUUCUGUGCACCGUAACCGUUCACUUUGGCAGGCUUUGGUGGUGAGCGUGAGCUCGCCUCCAACCUCGCGUUCCCUCCUCCCUAAGGGGUGUUACGCGUGGCGGCCUACCGGAGUCCCAUUAAAAACUCGUUUUCGAACAGUCUGAAAUUUCCU
rnacentral:misc_RNA from 1 species